GGGCCUGUAGCUUAGUGGUAGAGCAGCCGGUUUGCAUCCGGCAGAUGGGAGUCCGAUUCUCCCCAGGUCCA
rnacentral:tRNA from 1 species